rnacentral:ncRNA from 18 species
UAGAGGUUAACCGACGCGCACGGGUAAAUACCCGUGCACGUAAGAGGAAGUCCGGUGAGAAUCCGGCGCUGACCCGCAACCGUGUUCGCCGGUAUGUAGGGGUAGGUUUAAACCUACCCCUACAUACCGGCGUAAGUCGGGAACUCUUGUGCAGGUGGCCCGAGGUA